UACGUAGGUGGCAAGCGUUGUCCGGAUUUACUGGGCGUAAAGGGAGCGUAGGCGGACUUUUAAGUGAGAUGUGAAAUACCCGAGCUCAACUUGGGUGCUGCAUUUCAAACUGGAAGUCUAGAGUGCAGGAGAGGAGAAGGGAAUUCCUAGUGUAGCGGUGAAAUGCGUAGAGAUUAGGAAGAACACCAGUGGCGAAGGCGCUUCUCUGGACUGUAACUGACGCUGAGGCUCGAAAGCGUGGGGAG
rnacentral:rRNA from 1 species